UCUUUUCUUCUUCCGCUUCUUCUCCUUCUUGGGGAGGAUUGUCCCUUAAAAUAAUCUCCAUUGGAUCUACCUCCUCAUGUUGGCCAUCUUCACGUAGGAGAAUUUCUAGAGCAUCCAAUUCUACAUCAUCGAAGGAUUGAUGAACUCCUAUUGUCUCAUCCUCUUGAAAGCAUUCUGAUAAUUGGGGCUCUUCUUCUUCUUUGAGCGCGUAAUGAAUGGCUCGAGAC
rnacentral:lncRNA from 1 species